UACGUAGGGGGCAAGCGUUGUCCGGAAUCAUUGGGCGUAAAGAGCGCGUAGGCGGUCCGGUAAGUCAGCUGUGAAAGUCAAGGGCUCAACCCUUGAAAGCCGGUUGAUACUGUCGGGCUAGAGUCCGGAAGAGGCGAGUGGAAUUCCCGGUGUAGCGGUGAAAUGCGCAGAUAUCGGGAGGAACACCAAUGGCGAAGGCAGCUCGCUGGGACGGUACUGACGCUGAGGCGCGAAGGCGUGGGGAGCAAACAGG
rnacentral:rRNA from 1 species